rnacentral:rRNA from 1 species
GAUGAACGCUGACAGAAUGCUUAACACAUGCAAGUCAACUUGAACUUCGGUUUGGGUGGCGGACGGGUGAGUAACGCGUAAAGAACUUGCCUCACAGCUAGGGACAACAUUUGGAAACGAAUGCUAAUACCUGAUAUUAUGAUUUUAGGGCAUCCUAGAAUUAUGAAAGCUACAUGCACUGUGAGAGAGCUUUGCGUCCCAUUAGCUAGUUGGAGAGGUAACGGCUCACCAAGGCGAUGAUGGGUAGCCGGCCUGAGAGGGUGAUCGGCCACAAGGGGACUGAGACACGGCCCUUACUCCUACGGGAGGCAGCAGUGGGGAAUAUUGGACAAUGGACCAAGAGUCUGAUCCAGCAAUUCUGUGUGCACGAUGAAGUUUUUCGGAAUGUAAAGUGCUUUCAGUUGGGAAGAAAAAAAUGACGGUACCAACAGAAGAAGUGACGGCUAAAUACGUGCCAGCAGCCGCGGUAAUACGUAUGUCACAAGCGUUAUCCGGAUUUAUUGGGCGUAAAGCGCGUCUAGGUGGUUAUGUAAGUCUGAUGUGAAAAUGCAGGGCUCAACUCUGUAUUGCGUUGGAAACUGUGUAACUAGAGUACUGGAGAGGUAAGCGGAACUACAAGUGUAGAGGUGAAAUUCGUAGAUAUUUGUAGAAAUGCCGAUGGGGAAGCCAGCUUACUGGACAGAUACUGACGCUGAAGCGCGAAAGCGUGGGUAGCAAACAGG